UCAUUUGCCCUGUAAUUGAGGGCUAGUAUGAAUGGUUUGACAAGAGUAAUACUGUCUCCGCGGAAAUUUCUAGAAUUUAUUUUCUAAGUGAAGAAUCUUAGAUAAAAUUAAAAGACAAGAAGACCCUAUCGAGCUUGAAAUAUAUUUACAAAAUAAAAAAAAUAUUUAAUAUUUUCAAUUGUAAAAGAUUUUGGUUGGGGCGACUAAGGAACAAACAAAGCUUCUUUAUAAUAACUUAACUUAUAGGUAAUGAUCCGUUANUAAUAGCGAUUAAAAGAAUUAGUUACCGUAGGGAUAACAGCAUAAUCUUUUUUGAGAGUUCUAAUCGAAAAAAGGGUUUGU
rnacentral:rRNA from 1 species